rnacentral:rRNA from 1 species
UACGUAGGGGGCUAGCGUUGUCCGGAUUUAUUGGGCGUAAAGAGCUCGUAGGUGGUUCGGUAAGUCGGAUGUGAAAUCUCCAGGCUCAACCUGGAGGGGUCAUUCGAUACUGCCGUGACUAGAGUUCGGUAGGGGAGUCUGGAAUUCCUGGUGUAGCGGUGAAAUGCGCAGAUAUCAGGAGGAACACCGGUGGCGAAGGCGGCUAUCUGGACCGACAUUGACGCUGAGGCGCGAAAGCGUGGGGAGCAAACAGG